AAAGAAGUUAAAAUGGACAAAAAUGGCCUUAUUAUUUUUGGAUUUCCUAAGGAAUCCUUUAUAUUUGCAAGUCUUUGGUUUGAAAAUUAAGAGGUUUUUCUUCUUUUGUAUUUCUCCUCUCUUUUUUUUCUUUUUUUUUAAAUUCAGAUUGCACUUUAAUCAAAAUCAAAAACAAAAAUAGAGAAAUACAUUAUCUUUUGGUAAUAAUAUUUUAUUUAAACUCUUCUUUUAGUUAAUUCUUGACUUGGUUGAGAGCACAUUAUUUACAUAUUACCAUUGGUAUCAUUGAACAAAAUUA
rnacentral:lncRNA from 1 species